rnacentral:rRNA from 1 species
GACGAACGCUGGCGGCGUGCUUAACACAUGCAAGUCGAACGGAAAGGCCCUGCUUUUGUGGGGUGCUCGAGUGGCGAACGGGUGAGUAACACGUGAGUAACCUGCCCUUGACUUUGGGAUAACUUCAGGAAACUGGGGCUAAUACCGGAUAGGAGCUCCUGCUGCAUGGUGGGGGUUGGAAAGUUUCGGCGGCUGGGGAUGGACUCGCGGCUUAUCAGCUUGUUGGUGGGGUAGUGGCUUACCAAGGCUUUGACGGGUAGCCGGCCUGAGAGGGUGACCGGCCACAUUGGGACUGAGAUACGGCCCAGACUCCUACGGGAGGCAGCAGUGGGGAAUAUUGCACAAUGGGCGGAAGCCUGAUGCAGCAACGCCGCGUGCGGGAUGACGGCCUUCGGGUUGUAAACCGCUUUCGCCUGUGACGAAGCGUGAGUGACGGUAAUGGGUAAGGAAGCACCGGCUAACUACGUG